UACGAAGGGGGCUAGCGUUGUUCGGAAUCACUGGGCGUAAAGCGCACGCAGGCGGAUUGAUAAGUCAGGGGUGAAAUCCCGGAGCUCAACUUCGGAAUUGCCUUUGAUACUGUCAAUCUCGAGUCCGGGAGAGGUGAGUGGAAUUCCUAGUGUAGAGGUGAAAUUCGUAGAUAUUAGGAAGAAUACCAGUGGCGAAGGCGGCUCACUGGCCCGGUACUGACGCUCAUGUGCGAAAGCGUGGGGAGCAAACAGG
rnacentral:rRNA from 1 species